rnacentral:tRNA from 1 species
GGCUCAAUGGUCUAGUGGUAUGAUUCUCGCUUCGGGUGCUAGAGGCCACGAGUUCGAUUCCCGUCUGAGCCC